rnacentral:rRNA from 1 species
UGGGGAAUAUUGGACAAUGGGCGAAAGCCUGAUCCAGCCAUGCCGCGUGUGUGAAGAAGGUCUUCGGAUUGUAAAGCACUUUAAGUUGGGAGGAAGGGCAGUAAGCGAAUACCUUGCUGUUUUGACGUUACCGACAGAAUAAGCACCGGCUAACUCUGUGCCAGCAGCCGCGGUAAUACAGAGGGUGCAAGCGUUAAUCGGAAUUACUGGGCGUAAAGCGCGCGUAGGUGGUUCGUAAAGUUGAAUGUGAAAGCCCCGGGCUCAACCUGGGAACUGCAUCCAAAACUGGCCAGCUAGGGUAGGGCAGAGGGUGGUGGAAUUUCCUGUGUAGCGGUGAAAUGCGUAGAUAUAGGAAGGAACACCAGUGGCGAAGGCGACCACCUGGGCUCAUACUGACACUGAGGUGCGAAAGCGUGGGGAGCAAACAGG